rnacentral:rRNA from 1 species
GAUGAACGCUGGCGGCGUGCCUAAUACAUGCAAGUCGAGCGAACGGACGAGAAGCUUGCUUCUCUGAUGUUAGCGGCGGACGGGUGAGUAACACGUGGAUAACCUACCUAUAAGACUGGGAUAACUUCGGGAAACCGGAGCUAAUACCGGAUGAUAUUUUGAACCGCAUGGUUCAAAAGUGAAAGACGGUCUUGCUGUCACUUAUAGAUGGAUCCGCGCUGCAUUAGCUAGUUGGUAAGGUAACGGCUUACCAAGGCAACGAUGCAUAGCCGACCUGAGAGGGUGAUCGCCCACACUGGAACUGAGACACGGUCCAGACUCCUACGGGAGGCAGCAGUAGGGAAUCUUCCGCAAUAGGCGAAUGCCUAACGGAGCAACGCCGCGUGAGUGAUGAAGGUCUUCGGAUCGUAAAACUCUGUUAUUAGGGAAGAACAUAUGUGUAAGUAACUGUGCACAUCUUGACGGUACCUAAUCAGAAAGCCACGGCUAACUACGUG